AUUGGCAAACGGGUGAAUAACACAUGAGUAAUCUACCUUCGAGUGGGAAAUAACCCCGAGAAAUCGGGACUAAUAGCCCAUAAGACCAAUUCCUAAAAAGCUCCGCUGGAAGAUGAGCUCACGGCCUAUCAGCUAGUUGGUGAGGUAACGGCCCACCAAGGCUAAGACGGGUAGCCGACCUGAAAGGGUGAUCGGCCACACUGGAACUGAGACACGGUCCAGACUCCUACGGGAGGCAGCAGUGGGGAAUUUUGGACAAUGGGGGCAACCCUGAUCCAGCAACGCCGCGUGACGGAUGAAGGUCCUCGGAUUGUAAACUUCUUUUGCAGGGGACGAAUGACGGUACUCUGCGAAUAAGCCACGGCUAACUACGUGCCAGCAGCCGCGGUAAUACGUAGGUGGCAAGCGUUACUCGGAAUUACUAGGCGUAAAGCGCAGGUAGGUGGUUGGGUAAGUCUGUGAUGAAAUCUCCCGGCUUAACUGGGAGGGGUUUAUGGAAAC
rnacentral:rRNA from 1 species